rnacentral:rRNA from 1 species
GGUUUGAUCCUGGCUCAGAUUGAACGCUGGCGGGAUGCUUUACAUGAUGCAAGUCGAACGUGGCAGUAUCGGACUUGGUCUGGUGGCGAGUGAAGGCGAACGGGUGAGUAAUGUAUCGGAACGUGCCUAGUAGCGGGGGAUAAUCACGCGAAAGGUAGCUACUACCGCAUACGCCCUUUCGGGGGAAAGUGGGGACCUUUCGGGCCUCGCACUAUUAGAGCGGCCGAUAUCGGAUUAGCUAGUUGGUGGGGUAACGGCUCACCAAGGCGACGAUCCGUAGCUGGUUUGAGAGGAAUGACCAGCCACACUGGGACUGGAGAGAUGGCCCAGACUCUACGGGAGGCAGCAGUGGGAAUUGGACAAUGGGGAAACCCUGAUCCAGCCAUCCCGCGUAAGCGAGCGAAGGCCUUCGGGUUGUAAAGCACUUUUGGCAGGAAGAAACGGCACGCAUAAUACCCCGCAACCGACGGCACCUGCAGAAUGCUGCCCUGCCAACUUACGUACAGCAGCCGCGGUAAUACGUAGGUGCAAGCGUUGACUCGGAAUUACUGGGCGUAAAGCGUGCGCAGGCGGUUCGGAAAGAAAGAUGUGAACCCCAGAGCUUAACUUUGGAACUGCAUUUUUAAUUUCACCGAGCUAGAGUGUGUCAGAGGGAGGUGGAAUUCGCGGGGAAGCAGGAAUGCGUAGAUAUGCGGAGGAACACCGAUGGCGAAGGCAGCCUCCGGGAUAACACUGACGCUCAUGCACGAAAGCGUGGGGAGCAAACAGGAUUAGAUACCCUGGUAGUCCACGCCCUAAACGAUGUCAACUAUUGUUGGGGCCUUCGGGCCUGGUAGCGCAGCUGACGCAGUGAAGUUGACCGUCUGGGAAACACGGUCGCAAGAUUAAACCUCGAAAGAAUCGACGGGGACCCGCACAAGCGGUGGAUGAUGUGGAUUAAUUGAUGCAACGCGAAAAACCUUACCUACCCUUGACAUGUCCGGAAUCCCUAGAGAUUUGGGAGUGUUCGCAGAGAACCAACACAGGUGCUGCAUGGCUGUCGUCAGCUCGUGUCGAGAUGUUGGGUUAAGUCCCGCAACGAGCGCAACCCUUGUCAUUAGUUGCUACGAAAGCGCACUCUAAUGAGACUGCCGGUGACAAACCGGAGGAAGGUGGGGAUGACGUCAAGUCCUCAUGGCUCCAGGUAGGGCUUCACAUGUCAUACAAUGGUCGGGACAGAGGGUCGCCAAAUCCGCGAGGGGGAGCCAAUCCGAAACCCGAUCGAACCGGAUCGCAGUCUGUACCGACUGCGUGAAGUCGGAAUCGCUAGCAAUCGCGGAUCAGCAUGUCGCGGUGAAUACGUUCCCGGGUCUUGUACACACCGCCCGUCGCCAACGGCGCGGGAGUGGGUUUUACCGUAGAAGUGGUUAGCCUAACCGUAAGGAGGGCGAUUACCACGGUAGGAUUCAAGACCGGGUGAAGUCAACAAGGCAG